rnacentral:misc_RNA from 1 species
CCGAGCUUUACAACUCCCCAAACCCCUGUGAACAUACACUUAUGUUGCCUCGGCGGAUCAGCCCGCUCCCCGGUAAAAAAGGGACGGCCCCGCCAGCAGGAACCCCUAAACUCUGUUUUCUAUAGUGUAACUUCUGAGUAUAAAAAACAUAAAUAAAUCA